UACGUAGGGGGCGAGCGUUGUCCGAAGUUACUGGGCGUAAAGCGCGCGUAGGCGGUCUAUUAAGUCUGAGGUGAAAGGUUCAGCGCUCAACGCGAACAGUGCCUUGGAUACUGGUAGACUUGAGUGUGGCAGAGGAGUAUGGAAUUCCCGGUGUAGCGGUGAAAUGCGUAGAGAUCGGGAGGAAGGCCGGUGGCGAAGGCGGCGCUCUGGAACAUUUCUGACGCUGAGGCUCGAAAGCGCGGGGAGCAAACAGG
rnacentral:rRNA from 1 species